rnacentral:hammerhead_ribozyme from 1 species
AUCCAGCUGAUGAUUCUCAAAUAGGAUGAAACGCGCGUCAAACUAGAU